GAGUGUAGAACCAGGAUGUGUUGGAUAGAGAGAGAGUGUAGAACCAGGAUGUGUUGGAUAGAGAGAGAGGGUAGAACCAGGAUGUGUUGACGAGGCGGAGAGAGAUUGUUUAACCUAUAACCUGGAUCAUGUGACCCCAUGCAGACCUUUGUAACCAGUCCAACCUGCGGUCUCGCUCCCUGUCGGGUACAGGUCGGUCCCUGGUAGGAUCUUGGCUCAAACUGAACCGUACGGAGGAGUACUUCCUGCUUUACUCCCACCUGACCUACGUCACCCUGCCGCUGUACCGCAUCACCUCAGAUAUCCUGGAGGUGAGACAGAAGCCCAUCCUGAUGACAUAGCAGAUCAGAGCUCCAGUCCUCCUAACUGCCCCAGAGCCUCCCUACGAAGUGCCUUCCUGCAUCAGGCCCUGACUGACGCCACUACAACCCAGUGGUGAGAUGGAAAACUACAGCAACACUACCACCAUCUGGUGGUGAGAUGGAGGAAUUACAGCAACACUACCACCAUCUGGUGGUGAGAUGGAGGAAUUACAGCAACACUACCACCAUCUGGUGGUGAGAUGGAGGAAUUACAGCAACACUACCACCAUCUGGUGGUGAGAUGGAGGAAUUACAGCAACACUCCCACCAUCUGGCGGCGAGACAGAGAACUACAACCAAACCUGGAGUCGAUGGCAAGAGGUGACUAAAAAACAACUUUGGAACAAUGAAAACCAGCCAAUCAAAAAAGUGCCUCUUCCCUCUGUCAUGUUCCUGCUCGAUGGGGAUUCGCCGGUGGGUGUGAGGCGGUCGCCAGGGAAACGGGCAUAGCAACCCACCUGUCCUGUCAGGAUCACAUGGUUGUGAAUUGCAGUGCCAUUGGCUGAACUCUGACCUGGAACUAAAAUGAUUUAGAAUGUCUCUGGACGAAUCUAAAAUGGAACUCUAUUCCCAGUUUAGUGCACUAACGUUGGCCUUAGCCCAAUGUGGACUCUGAUCUAAAGUAGUGCUCUAUAAAAGGGAAUAGGGUGCCAUUUUGGACAAUGUAAAUAUCCUGCUGCUUAACUAUUCACUGAUAAGCCUUUAGGAAAGGUUACGUUUCUCCUGACGGAAACAUAAAGCUUCUGUCUGUUUUGUCAUUGCGUGUUUGUGUUUGUAUCUGCGAGGCGGGGAAGGUUAAAAGGAUUGUGUGUGUGUGUGUCUACAACGUUGUCUAAGUCCCAGGGCUUUGUGGAUGUGCUGCCUUCAGUCUAUCAGAGUAACAUCCUUUAUGUGCUGAGACCAGAAUGGCACCGUAUUGACCAGGCAGUAGGUUUCCAUCAGGCUCACAGUCUAGAGAUCCUUCAACUCUUCAGUUUAACAUGACGAACUUUCAACAGGGAACUGAAAUUAUCAUCUAUAUAAAAAAUAUAAAAAACAAUGACUUGGAUAUUCACACACACACACACACGUGUGAGAAAGAGGAGGAUUUUCCUCAGCACUGGAACAAGAUGGCUGAAUAUAGAAACACAGGGCCUGCUGAUACUCAGCUUUAGUAGCCGUAGAUACUAAACCCUGUUCCUGUCUGGUCUCGUCCCCAGGCUGCUGUUACUGUUACGUAGAGCCUGGUAACUGUGGGACUAAGGGGGUGUGGCUUUACUGAGUGAUAUGCUAAUCAUUCAAAUUCUGGAGCGAAUCACACGACUCUGAGGAGAAGGGGGAGGGAGCGAGCCUGGGAUAGUUGUAUUAAUGGAAGCCCAUUCCUGCCACCCAAAAUACAAUUAAAUGUCGACACUGCCUCAA